rnacentral:rRNA from 1 species
AGAACGAACGCUGGCGGCAGGCUUAACACAUGCAAGUCGAACGCCCGUAGCAAUACGGGAGUGGCAGACGGGUGAGUAACGCGUGGGAACGUACCCUUCGGUUCGGAAUAACCCGGGGAAACUCGGGCUAAUACCGGAUACGUCCGUAAGGAGAAAGAUUUAUCGCCGAAGGAUCGGCCCGCGUCGGAUUAGCUAGUUGGUGAGGUAAUGGCUCACCAAGGCGACGAUCCGUAGCUGGUCUGAGAGGAUGAUCAGCCACACUGGGACUGAGACACGGCCCAGACUCCUACGGGAGGCAGCAGUGGGGAAUAUUGGACAAUGGGCGAAAGCCUGAUCCAGCCAUGCCGCGUGAGUGAAGAAGGCCUUAGGGUGUAAAGCUCUUUCGCCGAUGAAGAUAAUGACGGUAGUCGGAGAAGAAGCCCCGGCUAACUUCGUGCCAGCAGCCGC